rnacentral:rRNA from 1 species
CCUACGGGGGGCAGCAGUGAGGAAUAUUGGUCAAUGGGCGCGAGCCUGAACCAGCCAAGUCGCGUGAGGGAUGACGGUCCUACGGAUUGUAAACCUCUUUUGCCGGGGAGCAAGCGUGCGUUCGUGAACGCGCAUCGAGAGUACCCGGAGAAAAAGCAUCGGCUAACUCCGUGCCAGCAGCCGCGGUAAUACGGAGGAUGCGAGCGUUAUCCGGAUUUAUUGGGUUGAAAGGGAGCGUAGAUGGGUUGUUAAGUCAGUUGUGAAAGUUUGCGGCUCAAGCGUAAAAUUGCAAUUGAUACUGGCAGCCUUGAGUACAGUUGAGGUAGGCGGAAUUCGUGGUGUAGCGGUGAAAUGCUUAGAUAUCACGAAGAACUCCGAUUGCGAAGGCAGCUUACUAAGCUGCCACUGACAUUGAUGCUCGAAAGUGUGGGUAUCAAACAGGAUUAGAUACCCUUGUAGUC